AAGAGACGGGGUGGAUAAAUUUAUAAUUAGUAUAUUAACAAAUAAUGUAGGGAUAACUAGGGUAUUCUAUGAAAUUUUUAGGACGUGAAUAAAUCGAUAAUUUAAAUAGAACAACUUUGAUAUUUAAGACUCCUAAGGAAAAAUCCAUAAAAUAGAACCUCGCGAACUGAACCAUCUUAGUAGCGAGUGGAAAAGAAAUCAAUCGAGAUGGAGUGAGUAGCGGCGAGCGAAAGCUUCAUAGCCCAUAGUAAUAUUUGUAAAAAGCUUAAAAUUUUUGAUCAUAAAUACCAAAGAGAGUAGCCAGUCCCGUAGAGCAGAGAAUUUUCUCACCAGAUAUUAUUUAUAGAGUAGAAUCUUUAGUUAGGUUCGAAUAUAGGGGAACUACCUCUAAGGCUAAAUACGUAAAUACACCGAUAGUGUAUCAGUAACGUAAGUGAAUGUUGAAAUAAUGUGCGAAGCACAGUGAAAUAAACGUUGAAAUAGAUUAUUUAUAAGCACCUUUUAAUAAAGGUUACCUUUUGUAUAAUGGCAUUACGAGUUUUAAUUUUAUGCGUGAUUAAAGUCAAAGUGAAAACGAGUCUGCAAGGGCGUUUGUAUAAGAUUAAAGAACCCGAAACCCGCGUGAUCUAGUUAUGGUCAGAUUGAAGUUAAAUAUAAUUAAUGGAGGAUCGAACCUUUGACUGUUGCAAUAGUCUAGGAUGAACUGUGAUUAGAGGUGAAAUGCCAAUCGAACCGGGAAAUAGCUGGUUAUCUUCGAAACGUAUUUAGGUACGGCGUCUUUUUAUAUAUUAUAUGCGGUAAAGCUCUAAUUAAGUCUUUGGCUUGUCGCGAGACUUGUACUUAACUUAUUUAAACUCAUAAUUCAUAUAAUAAUUAGAAGAUAGACAGACUUUUGGCGAUAAGGUUAAAAGUCGAGAGGGAAACAACCCAGAUCUAUAGUUAAAGUCGUUAACAAAAAAUAAGUGUUUAAGGCUUUUCAUAUACUAUUCCAAUUAGGAAGUGGGCUUAGAAACAGCCACUUUUAAAGAUAACGUAGCAGUUCACUUAAUUAAUGUAGAUGAAAACCGAAGAUCCAGGCGGCUAAUUUUUUGACUGAAACUUAGACUUGUCUUUUUAGACAAGGGUAGAAGAUCGUUUUGUAUUUUUAAGUAAUUGUAAAAUGUAUAUAUCAAAAGCGACAAUGUAAUGAUGAGUAACUAAAAAAUCUUGCGAAAAGAUUCACCGAAAGCCCAAGGUUUUACAGGUAUAUGAUGAUCAUACUGUUUUCGAUACAGUCCCUAAGAGACAAGUGAAAAUGACUCUCGAUGGGUAAAAUUUUUAUCCUUCUUCCGAAGAAAUAAGAUACUUUCUAAUUUGACGCUUACUGAGGUGGGCCUAGAAAGAAAAUAGAAAGAAUAACUGUACUAAGACUAACACAAGUGGGUGGGAAGAGCAUUCUAAGGUGAUAGGAGAAUUGUCCAUAAGGAACUCGGCAAAAUGCUUCCGUACGUUCGCAAUAAGGAAGCCCUAUUUAAAAAUAGGGAGCAUAAAAUCGGGAAGCGGAACUGUUUACUAAAAACACAGCUUUAAGCUAAGACUUACGGUCGUUGUAUUUGAAGUGAACCCUGCCCAAUGGUUGUAACCGAACGCAGUUUCUGUAUAAGGUCAACUCAAUGGCGGCCCUAACUCUGAGGGUCCUAAGGUAGCGCAAUCAAUAUUCAGUUAAUUGCUGAAAAGUAUGAAAGGGUUAAUCAUGCUUCCACUGUCUCAUGGAUGAACCUAGUGAAAUUGGAAUCGUAGUGAAGAUACUACGUAAAUAUUGUAGGACAAGAAGACCCUUGCAGCUUUACUAUUAUGUUACACCGAAUUUUUUUUCUAGUUAUAUAGGCUAACCGGAAGCCGUUGACUCCAAAUCGUUAGGUUUUUGAGUAGGCAACCUUGGAAUACCGGUUUAUUAGUUUUAAAUUUUCUAACAAGUGAAAUGUGUAUCAGAGAUAGUUUUCCUGGGGCGGGAGCCUUUUAAAAUGUAACAAAGGCUUGCAAUAGGUCAGUUCAGUAUUAUUAGAAAUAAUACGUUGAGUGUAAAAGCAUAAACUGGCUUGACUGUGAGAUUGAUAAAUCGAACAGGGUCGAAAGACGGCUUUAGUGACCCGCGCGUUAUUAUAGUAGUUGCGCGCGAUCAUAAGAAAAGUUACGCAAGGGAUAACAGUGUAAUAGCAGGUUAGAGUUCAUAUCGACCUUGCUGUUUGCCACCUCGAUGUUGAAUUGCGAUAUCCUCCUGGUGCAGCAGCUAGGAAGGGUUGGACUGUUCGUCCAUUAAAAUCGUACAUGAUUUGAGUUUAAAGCGUCGUGAGACAGCUUGGAUUCUAUCCACAAUAUUAUAUUAAAACUAGAAAGAGCUUUUCAUUGUACGCAAGGACUUGAAAGGCAGCUCCUCUGGUGUAACAGUUGUCCAAAAGGCACCGCUGUUUAGCUACGAACUAUUAAUUUAAAAGCUGAUAGCAGAUAAGCUUGAAAUUUACUUUCAUUAGUUUUUUACGGCGAUAUAGAAUAUGUCGAAUAAUAGGCAACAAGUGUAAGAUAAGCAAUUAUUAAGCUCAGUUGUACUAACCGUGAUGGAUACUAAAUAAA
rnacentral:rRNA from 1 species